AGGUUUUAAGGACCAGCCGGAAGAGAACUGCAAGGAGAGAUCAUUAGUGAUGGGAGAAGACCCUCCAGAGAUCCCACAGAAGCAUCCAGAAGAGAGAAUCCAGAGAGUAUUGACAGCAAAUCCAAGAAUACCAGUCGAAUAAGGCCUUUCCUGCCAUUUACCUCACAUCUCUUUCCUCUCUCCAUUCCUGGGGAAAGAAAUCCGUAGCCUUGGCUCUCAGCUAGAGGAAGAAGGGUACACACAGAAAGCAGGAAACUAGAGAAGACACCCACCACACUCCCUCUCCCACUGCAAGGCCUUGCCUGCAAAAGGCCCAAGCUGGGAAAGGAUAACUAUAACUUUAAGUGAAAUUUGGAGUUUUGACUACUACAAAAGACUUAACAUUUUACUUACGGAAACAAUACUGUUUUGUGGCUAGAAGCAAAUUAAGGAAUUUUCAUUAACGGCAAGUGCAUAAGGAAAGUCAUGAGCUGUGCCAGAUUUCAUGAAAGGAACAGGGAAGAAUGAGUCCUGGGGAGGAGGUGUGUCUGGGCUGUGGUGGGUGGACUCUCGUGCCCCCUGGGUUAGAGCAUUGUAUAAGCACCAAGGGUUGUAAAUAAUGAGCAGAGCAAAGACACGGACUCAAAUGCUCCCUGUCUUCUCUCUCUCCAAUGGCACAGAACUCUUACUGCCCUCAGCACAAUGAUUAACAGCAAACCAAAUUGGUUAGGAGAUCUGUGAUGACAUCUGCUGAUGGUCCUUCAAGCACAUGAAUGACAGGUAAUAGAGCUAUCUUGCUCACCUUCAGGAAUGCCUCCUUUACACGGAGGCUCUCAUUUGAUAUUUUAAAGAUUGUCUGCCCCAGAGAAAUAAUUCAAACACUAUCCAUUGGCUUUAGAGAAAUAAUUCCUUUUGAAAUGAUUUCACAAAUACCAAGGGCAAGACCUCAUUUAGAUGGAGUAAAAGCUUCCCAAACCCGAAGGGAACAUUCCUCCCAGGGCUGUGAUUUCUGCUGAAGAAAGGGAGGUGUCUGAGAUAAGCAGCGCAGACUGUGCUGGAAGAAACAAACAUGUUUGUUGUUCCCCUGGCGCAUAUAUUUCCUAAUAUAGUCCUGGGCCUUGAGAACUCUGGCUGCCCCUGCGGCUACAGAGAAGCCCAGAGCUAUGUCCUGAGGAACCCCGGGGCCUGUGCCCACUGAGAAUCCCUGACCUGCCAGGAAGACCUCCUGAGAACAAAAGCGAUGAUCCAGAAUGGGCCGGCGCAGGGGCAGCGCAUCGCGGA
rnacentral:lncRNA from 10 species